GUCCACUAGGUAAACAACUGUCUCCCAGACAUUUUAUGUCCAGUCCACUAGGUAAACAACUCUCUCCCAGACAUUUUAUGUCCACUAGGUAAACAACUGUCUCCCAGACAUCUUAUGUCCACUAGGUAAACAACUGUACCCCAGAUAUUUUAUGUCCACUAGGUAAACAACUGUCUCCCAGACAUUUUAUGUCCACUAUGUAAACAACUGUCUCCCAGACAUCUUAUGUCCACUAGGUAAACAACUGUCUCCCAGACAUCUUAUGUCCACUAGGUAAACAACUGUCUCCCAGACAUCUUAUGUCCACUAGGUAAACAACUGUCUCCCAGACAUUUUAUGUCCAGUCCACUAGGUAAACAACUGUCUCCCAGACAUUUUAUGUCCACUAUGUAAACAACUGUCUCCCAGACAUCUUAUGUCCACUAGGUAAACAACUCUCUCCCAGACAUUUUAUGUCCACUAGGUAAACAACUGUCUCCCAGACAUUUUAUGUCCACUAUGUAAACAACUGUCUCCCAGACAUCUUAUGUCCACUAGGUAAACAACUGUCUCCCAGACAUCUUAUGUCCACUAGGUAAACAACUGUCUCCUAGACAUCUUAUGUCCACUAGGUAAACAACUGUCUCCCAGACAUCUUAUGUCCACUAGGUAAACAACUGUCUCGCAGACAUCUUAUGUCCACUAGGUAAACAACUGUCACCCAGACAUCUUAUGUCCACUAGGUAAACAACUGACUCCCAGACAUCUUAUGUCCAGUAGGUAAACAACUGUCACCCAGACAUCUUAUGUCCACUAGGUAAACAACUGUCUCCCAGACAUCUUAUGUCCACUAGGUAAACAACUGUCUCCCAGACAUCUUAUGCCCAGUCCACUAGGUAAACAACUGUCUCCCAGACAUCUUAUGUCCACUAGGUAAACAACUGUCUCCCAGACAUCUUAUGUCCAGUCCACUAGGUAAACAACUGUCUCCCAGACAUCUUAUGUCCACUUGGUAAACAACUGACUCCCAGACAUCUUAUGUCCACUAGGUAAACAACUGUCUCCCAGACAUCUUAUGUCCACUAUGUAAACAACUGUCUCCCAGACAUCUUAUGUCCACUAGUUAAACAACAGUCUCCCAGACAUCUUAUGUCCACUAGGUAAACAACUGUCUCCCAGACAUCUUAUGUCCAGUAGGUAAACAACUGUCUCCCAGACAUUUUAUGUCCACUAGGUAAACAACUGCUCAGAGGUACUUUCCAAGUCAAUACUGAGAAUCUACAAACGCUUUGUUAAAAUUUGUUUAUGAGAGAACUUGUACAAUACUUUCUGUAUUAUCGAACCAUGUAGAAUCAGAUUGAUGAUAUGGGUUGAUAUGUUCUCUGCACAGACAGUAGACAAACCAUGUAGAAUCAGAUUGAUGAUGUGGGUUGAUAUGUUCUCUGCACAGACAGUAGACGAACCAUGUAGAAUCAGAUUGAUGAUGUGGGUUGAUAUGUUCUCUGCACAGACAGUAGAUAAACCAUGUAGAAUCAGAUUGAUGAUGUGGGUUGAUAUGUUCUCUGCACAGACAGUAGAUAAACCAUGUAGAAUCAGAUUGAUGAUUUGGGUUGAUAUGUUCUCUGCACAGACAGUAGACAAACCAUGUAGAAUCAGAUUGAUGAUGUCAGCAGAUAUCGAAUAUGAAGGAGCUCGUCGUUUCUUACCGGCGACCACUUUGCGUCCCAAAUGGCACCCUAUUCCCUAUUUAGUGCACUACUUUAGACCCUAUUCCCUAUUUAGUGCACAACUUUUGACAAUGGUUCACAGGGCUCAAGUCAAAAGAAGUGCUUUAUAAUAGGGAAUAGGGUGCUAUUUGGAAUGGAGACUCUAGCAGAGAGGUCAUUGGGAAAGGUGACAUGUACCUUUAUGACCAAGGGAUUCAAUGGGAAAAUGUAUCUUACUGUAAUUACAUGGUAAUAACUAAAGCCAUGCAUGGUGUAGUUACACAGUUGCACCUCUAAGGGGGCGAUAGAGAGAACUUUUUCUUCACUUCGACCUCUUCCUGUCUGAAGUUAGAUGGAUAUUUGAUCAAAUCGGCGAAAAAUCUGAAAAUGAAUUGGCAUUGAACGAGUUGAGCAAUUUUAAAACUUCUUGAAUUGGACUCAUCUGUAGACAUAGGGUGUGUCCGAAAGUGCACCCUGUUUCCUAUGUAGUGUGUAGUGUACUCUGUUUUGACCAGGGACCACUAUAUAAAAU
rnacentral:lncRNA from 1 species